rnacentral:rRNA from 1 species
CGGACGGGUGAGUAUCACGUGGAUAACCUACCUAUAAGACUGGGAUAACUUCGGGAAACCGGAGCUAAUACCGGAUAAUAUAUUGAACCGCAUGGUUCAAUAGUGAAAGACGGUUUUGCUGUCACUUAUAGAUGGAUCCGCGCCGCAUUAGCUAGUUGGUAAGGUAACGGCUUACCAAGGCAACGAUGCGUAGCCGACCUGAGAGGGUGAUCGGCCACACUGGAACUGAGACACGGUCCAGACUCCUACGGGAGGCAGCAGGU